AAACCAUGAUUUGGGCUCUUCCUCGCAAAUAAUCCUUGAAUCUCUCCCAUGCUUCAUAUAAUUGUUCUCCCCGGUCGCUGCUUGAAUUCAUAGAUCUUGUCCCGAAUUU